rnacentral:rRNA from 4 species
CCUGGCGGCACUAGCGCGGUGGUCCCACCUGACCCCAUGCCGAACUCAGAAGUGAAACGCCGUAGCGCCGAUGGUAGUGUGGGGUCUCCCCAUGUGAGAGUAGGGAACUGCCAGGA